rnacentral:tRNA from 1 species
UGGCCAAUAGCUCAGUCGGUAGAGCAGCUGGCUGUUAACCAGCGGGUCGUAGGUUCGAGUCCUACUUGGCCAG